rnacentral:rRNA from 1 species
AUACGAAAGGUGCAAGCGUUGUUCGGAUUUACUGGGCGUAAAGAGAGUGUAGGUGGUUUAUUAAGUCGGAUGUGAAAUCCCGGGGCUCAACCUCGGAACUGCAUUCGAUACUGAUAGGCUAGAGUUUGGGAGGGGUAAGCGGAAUUCCGUGUGUAGCAGUGAAAUGCAUAGAUAUACGGAGGAACACCUGAGGCGAAGGCGGCUUACUGGACCAAUACGGACACUGAGACUCGAAAGCGUGGGUAGCAAACAGGAUUAGAUACCCUAGUAGUCC